CGUCGACACCCCACACUCGGAUCGUCCGGCACGUUCCUGCCGGUGGAGGGAUCUUCUU
rfam:Rhodococcus sp. EPR-157 Scaffold5_16, whole genome shotgun sequence.